rnacentral:rRNA from 1 species
AUUGAACGCUGGCGGCAGGCUUAACACAUGCAAGUCGAGCGGGGUGAUGGUGCUUGCACUAUCACUUAGCGGCGGACGGGUGAGUAAUGCUUAGGAAUCUGCCUAUUAGUGGGGGACAACAUUUCGAAAGGAAUGCUAAUACCGCAUACGUCCUAUGGGAGAAAGCAGGGGAUCUUCGGACCUUGCGCUAAUAGAUGAGCCUAAGUCGGAUUAGCUAGUUGGUGAGGUAAAGGCUCACCAAGGCGACGAUCCCUAGCUGGUCUGAGAGGAUGAUCAGCCACACUGGAACUGAGACACGGUCCGGACUCCUACGGGAGGCAGCAGUGGGGAAUAUUGGACAAUGGGCGAAAGCCUGAUCCAGCCAUGCCGCGUGUGUGAAGAAGGCCUUCGGGUUGUAAAGCACUUUAAGCGAGGAGGAAGGUUCGUCACCUAAUACGUGACGGAAUUGACGUUACUCGCAGAAUAAGCACCGGCUAACUCUGUGCCAGCCGCCGCCGUAAGAC